CCCUUAGAUGUUCUGGGCCGCACGCGCGCUACACUGACAGGAGCAACGAGUGCUUCCUGCACCGGAAGGUGUGGGUAAUCUUUUGAAAUCCUGUCGUGCUGGGGAUAGAUCUUUGUAAUUUUCGAUCUUGAACGAGGAAUUCCUAGUAAGCGCAAGUCAUCAGCUUGCGUUGAUUACGUCCCUGCCCUUUGUACACACCGCCCGUCGCUACUACCGAUUGAAUGGUUUAGUGAGGCCUCGGGAUUGCUGCAUCUGGCGCUGGCAACAGUGCUGAUGCGACGAGAACUUGGUCAAACUUGAUCAUUUAGAGGAAGUAAAAGUCGUANCA
rnacentral:rRNA from 1 species